UCGGUACAGCCAAAUUGACUGUAGAAAAAACCUACAAAAAAAGAAAGAAAAGGAACAAUGUUUACAUCAGGAUUUAUUUUCAGUGGGUAGAAUUUUCAUUAGGCCUAAUGAUAUAGGAAGCCUUGUACAGGGGAUACUUUUAACAGAUUCCAUUACUUGGACCUGCUACACCGCUGGUUCAUGUUCUUUUAUAAUACUAUCAAGCAAACUUCUUAACCUGUCUAAGAAUUUGCAUUCUUUGUACAUUUCCCAUUAUCCCCUUUUUUAUCACCGUCAAUUGUAUCAGAAUGAAGAGCAUUCCAUCUCUCUUUCCAUUGUACAUGUUGGUUAGCUUCAAAUAUGUUCAAACUUGUCCAAGUAUCUUGAAUUUGCAGUCCAGCCUCCUAAUUACAGACAAUGUGACUGGGAAUAGUCCAUUGGAACAGGUUUCAACAUUUUGGACUUCCUUAAAUUAAUUGAUUCAUAUUAAGAAUAUUGUGUGUGAAUUUAAGAGGGUGUUCAAGUCUCAUUUAGAAAAGAUUAAUCCUAGAGUUUGGAGAAAUGAACUGCCAUUUAUUUUUUUUAUUUAUAAAAGUAUUGUAUAAAACCCAGGUUCCAAAAUUUUGACUUAAAGAUUCAAACUAAUUAGGUCGGCAACCAUGGUUUUAUUUCAAGCAGCCUAACCUAAUGUUGCUAAGUCAAUCUUAAAGGCAGAGUAGGAAUGAUCUUUAAUUUGAUCCUCAUAUACCGGUCAUACUAGGUUUCUAUCCUUCAACAGGGAUUGCAUAAAAUAUUGAGCCUUCAUAUACCUAUAUAUACAUAUGGCAUAAUAAUCUCCUCAGUGAUGCAUAUCCUAACUCUGACAUUAGCUAGAAAGCUAAACAAAGAACAUGUGUCAUUAAGCAUUGCAAAGAAGAAUGGAGUUUAUGCCUGAGAAUCAUCUGUGGGAUAAUAUUUAUCUUAGCAGGUUCACGAUAUUCUUUCAAACCUUUCUUGGUGGGACUUCCCAACUGAUCCUUUGGCAUCAUCUUUAGCAUAUUGUAAACAACCUUAGCCAAAUACUGGGGAAACGAUAUUUUAUGAUGAUUUUUUGAGAAAUAAAUUUAAUAAACUACUGAUACCCGUCAAUAGACAAAGAUAGAAUAAGGAUCAAACUUAAAUAUUCUCCCUUUUAUGGGACAAUACAUAUAUAUAUAUAUAGAACAAGAGAUAUACAUUGGAGGUGAAUGAAUAAUGUUGUAGCAUAUGCCAUUUGCCUUAUUGCUGAGUCCAGUCCAGACGUUCUGAUUUGUUGAACUUUCAAUCUUGUUGCAAUGAGAAUGCAAAGACUUAAGUUCAAGGAAUGGAUACCCUUUCCCUGCACAGGCAAACGCAGCAGAUUACAACCCUGCAACAUGAAAAUGAGAUAGUAAACCUGGAGAGUUAAGCGUGUUUUUCUUUUGCAGGAAUAAGUAGUGUAGUUGGGGUUGGAGAAAUUCUAAACACAGAAACAUAGGCUGUUAAGAGUGAAGCAUGUUGUUAUUCAGCUGUGGCAACCUCAAGUGCAAUUGCAUGGUUAAAGAUGGAAUUAGAUAGAAACCUUAAAAUGGAGGUAUGAGGUACAUGUUGUGAAGUAAAGAUUCAGAUAUAUAUACGCUGCCAAAUUCUUCCCGAGUUUGUAAAGGAUCUAUGGGGUAAUUCAUCAAAGUGAACUGUGGAGAUUGGAUCAUAUUUUCUGGAACCAGUAGGUGGAAUCAAAUGGAUCAGUCUUUCCUUGGAGGCUGGCUGGUAUUGGUCUUAAAAAGAAGAGAAAAGUAAAGCAUUGAAGAGGAA
rnacentral:lncRNA from 1 species